rnacentral:tRNA from 1 species
GCAGUGGUGACUCAGUGGUAGAAUUUUUGCCUUCCACGCAGGAGCCUCAGGUUCAGUUCCCAGCCACUGCU